rnacentral:rRNA from 1 species
UACGUAGGGUGCGAGCGUUUAAUCGGAAUUACUGGGCGUAAAGCGUGCGCAGGCGGUUUUGUAAGCCAGAUGUGAAAUCCCCGGGCUCAACCUGGGAAUGGCAUUUGGGACUGCAAGGCUGGAGUGCGGCAGAGGAGACUGGAAUUCCUGGUGUAGCAGUGAAAUGCGUAGAUAUCAGGAGGAAUACCGAUGGCGAAGGCAGGUCUCUGGGCUGACACUGACGCUCAUGCACGAAAGCGUGGGGAGCGAAACAAG